rnacentral:rRNA from 1 species
UUUGGUGGUGGAUUGUUGCUGGCCUUUGGGUAUGUGCACAUCCUCCUCCGAUUUCUAUUCAUCCACCUGUGCACUUUUUGUAGGAGUUCUUUCAUCGGGUUUUUGAAGGGGGCUCUUUAUGAUUUACUUGAAAAAACUAUUUAACAAGGCUUCUAUGUUCUUAUAAACCAUUGAAGUAUGUUAUAAAAGGAUCUGGUUAUGGGAACUUUAUUGACCCUUUAAACUUAAAACAACUUUCACCACCGAACCCCUGGGUUCCCCCAUCAAUAAAAAACCCACCGAAAGGCAAUAAGAAAGGGGAAUGGCGAAAUUCGUGGAAUCAUCGAAUCUUUAAACCCCCCUUGCCCCCUCGGGAUUUCCGAAGGGCAGGCCGGUUUAAUGGCCAUUAAAUUCCCACCUUAAUAAUUUUUUCAUUUAUAAAAUUGGGUAUGUGGGGGGUGUGCGGGUGUGUGUCCUCCCCUCUUAAUUUGUUUAGGGGAAACCGUGUUGUGUUAUUUCAACCCUUGGUGAGAUAUUUAUCUACUUUUGGGGGAAACCUUACAAAAAAAAAUCUCUUUUGUUUUGUUUUGUUGCUUUUAUUUUGCUCACUCUGUUCUAUUC